UGGCUCAGAACGAACGCUGGCGGCAUGCUUUACACAUGCAAGUCGAACGGUAACAGGCCUUCGGGCGCUGACGAGUGGCGAACGGGUGAGUAAUGCAUCGGAACGUGCCCAGUCGUGGGGGAUAACGCAGCGAAAGCUGUGCUAAUACCGCAUACGAUCUGCGGAUGAAAGCGGGGGACCUUCGGGCCUCGCGCGAUUGGAGCGGCCGAUGUCAGAUUAGGUAGUUGGUGGGGUAAAGGCCUACCAGGAAAGACGAUCUGUAGCUGGUCUGAGAGGACGACCAGCCACA
rnacentral:rRNA from 1 species